CCUACGGGCGGCAGCAGUCGGGAAUAUUGCGCAAUGGAGGAAACUCUGACGCAGUGACGCCGCGUGCAGGAAGAAGGCUUUCGGAUUGUAAACUGCUUUAGACAGGGAAGAAGAAAGACAGUACCAGUAGAAUAAGCUCCGGCUAACUACGUGCCAGAAGCCGCGGUAAUACGUAGGGAGCAAGCGUUAUCCGGAUUAAGUGGGUGUAAAGGGUUCGUAGACGGAGAGGCAAGUCAGUGGUGAAAUCCCUCGGCUUAACUGAGGAACUGCAUCUAAAACUACUUCCCUUGAGUACUGGAGAGGAAAGUGGAAUUCCUAGUGUAGCGGUGAAAUGCGUAGAGAUUAGGAGGAACACCAGUGGCGAAGGCGACUUUCUGGACAGUAACUGACGUUGAGGUACGAAAGUGUGGGGAGCAAACAGGAUUAGAUACCCGGGUAGUC
rnacentral:rRNA from 1 species